AUUGAACGCUGGCGGCAGGCUUAACACAUGCAAGUCGAGCGAGCGGCGGACGGGUGAGUAAUGUCUGGGAAACUGCCUGAUGGAGGGGGAUAACUACUGGAAACGGUAGCUAAUACCGCAUACCAUCAGAUGUGCCCAGAUGGGAUUAGCUAGUAGGUGGGGUAAUGGCUCACCUAGGCGACGAUCCCUAGCUGGUCUGAGAGGAUGACCAGCCACACUGUAACGGAGACACGGUCCGUACUCCUACGGGAGGGAGCAGUGGGGAAUAUUGCACAAUGGGGGCAAGCCUUCUGCAGCCAUGCCGCGUGUGUUAAGAAGGCCUUAGGGUUGUAAAGUACUUUCAGCGGGGAGGCGUUACUCGCAGAAGAAGCACCGGCUAACUCCGUGCCAGCAGCCGCGGUAAUAC
rnacentral:rRNA from 1 species